UUCUAAAAUCCCACUAUUCUGUCCUUUUCAAGUACCUCAUCUAAAAUGUUGUCUCUCAUGUACUCAGAAGUCACAACAGGCUUGUUUAAAUCAUGGAUUGCUUUAAGAAAGCAAAAAAAAUUAAAGCUCUUUGAGGCUUUUUUUUUUAGGCUCCUUCUCACUGCUGAACUUGCAGCAGUCCCUUCCUUCUAUUUUUCAUGAUUUCUCCACUGUUCUCUUGCUGAGAUGUUUGUACUGUUUCUUGCUUUUAGAAACCAGUGCUAAAAAAAAAUAUUUAAAAAACAUAAAAAAAAUCUUGAAAUAUAUAACCACAAGAACUUGGCAAUAUAUCAUUUUUCCUUUAAAAUUAGUAUCAUCUUUUCAUAUACAAGUUUUCUCAGAUUUCUUUUGCUUGAGGAAGGACUCUGGAGCUUUGUUUUUGCUGGGCAUAAUAGAAGAUAAAAGAAGAGAGAAACAGUGGGCCACUGCUGUGAUUCGGGAACCUAGUCCUUCCCUUGGUCUAUCAAGUGAGUCAGUGAUGGAUGGAUGAAGGAGCUUACUCUCGUGACCAGAUGGAGCCAGGUUGGUGCUGAGGUGUGUUAUCUUGAAUGGUCUCCUCUGUGAAGAGCCAGGGAACAUAACUGGAGGGGAGCACUCAGAAAAGAGAAGCUGCAUUGGAGAAGUGGCCUGGCCAAAACACCAAGGACUUGUUCAUAGCCUAAAAAAGGGAGAGGAGGAGUCUGGUUUUGGAGGUGUCACUCUUUGUGGAAAACAGACUUAGAUAACUGGAGCUUUCAAGCUGUUCCCCCCCUGAAAGGAGGAAUUGUUAUUUGAGCAACACCUAGAGUCGUCAGUCUCCUGUGGGUGAAAAACGAUAAACAGACUCUCAAGGGAUGCAUCUUGGUGGAGCUAGAAAGGUGCACUUUCCAUAUUUUCAAUCUCCGAGUGAAUUGCUCUGAUAUCAGGGUUUGGUGGAUCUUGGGAAGAGUACGGCUGUGGCAACUUCAGUUCAAUGAAGCCAGAGGACCCUACACUGUUGAUGAAAUAUUACUUCUUUUCUUCUUGGCAUCUCUCCGGUCAUUUUCAUCAUGACUUGUACUCAAAGCAGGGAUGUCUCUGUGCCUGGAUGAGACUGGACAUUCAAGAACUGAUCUCUGAGAGUCAUCCAGGAGCACAGAUUUCAAGAAAAGCCACCAUUGCGCUUGCUGAAAGCACUGAAUACAUUCCCGUUGUUUUCCACCACAUUCCUGUGAAAGAGGCAAAUGGAUAGCAUGGCCAGUAUUUCAAGUGACUGCUAAUAUGAUGUGUACAACUUCAGACAUUUAUGUGAGCGCCCAGAGUAAGAGGAUGAAGUUGGCAGCAGCGUGAGGUCAUCUUGCCUAUAAACCACCUAACCACUGCCCUCCAGGGAUAGGACUGAAAUACAGAAGUGCUGCCUUGAGAGGACAUAACCAGACAGACUGCAAGACAGAGGCAAGAUUUUCCCUAACAACUUCAUACUGGUGAGCCUUGAGAGAGCCUCUGUAAUCCAACACCGUGGCCAGGCAGAUUCCAUGAACUGCAGACCCUACUGUUGACAGAUGGGGUUUGUGAGUAAUUGUUUGAUGGGCACCGUGGGUGAGGAUGUAGGGAAGUAUCAGGAGAAAGGGGUGCUGUGGUUUGUUUUUGAGCUUGGAGGUCACGUCAGCUACCAGUGAGAGCAUCUUUCAGUGUUUUUUGAUUGCAUUGUUAUUUUGGUACUGGUGAUGAUGAAGUUUUAAAUGGGGAAGGGCAAGGAGGAUACUUCUCUUACCCUACACAGCUCUGCAAUGCCUGUGUUAAUGUUAGCUAGGGGCAGGAUCUCAGGAGCUGCUCACUUUGCACCAGGCACGAGCCAGAAGAAAGGGAAUAUGAACAAGGUGGGGAUUGCUGCAUUCAUGCAGAGUAGUUUGUGUAGAAAAUGUUAAUCUGGUGAACAAAGACAAAAUGAAGAUGCAAAUGUUUUGCACAGAAUGGAUGUAGUAUAGACCACAGUGCAUGCCCUCCUACACACUGGUAAAGGGGCCUUAACCCAGUUCAGUCCAUUUUUAUGGCUUGGUCAGUUUGGUGAUUAAAUCCAGUACAUUUCCAUUCUGUAAUUAAACAACAACAACAUAAUAAUAAUAAAAAAAUGAAACAGAAACCAUAAAAUCAAAAAAAAAAAAA